rnacentral:rRNA from 1 species
UACGGAGGAUCCAAGCGUUAUCCGGAAUUACUGGGCGUAAAGAGUUGCGUAGGUGGCAUGGUAAGUUGAUAGUGAAAGCGUCCGGCUCAACCGGAUAUCCAUUAUCAAAACUGCCAAGCUAGAGGAUGAGAGAGGUUAUUGGAAUUCCUGAUGUAGGGGUAAAAUCCGUUGAUAUUAGGAGGAACACCGAUGGCGUAGGCAGAUAACUGGCUCAUUCCUGACACUAAGGCACGAAAGCGUGGGUAGCAAACAGG